rnacentral:rRNA from 1 species
UACAGAGGGUGCGAGCGUUAAUCGGAAUUACUGGGCGUAAAGCGUGCGUAGACGGUUAUUUAAGUCGGGUGUGAAAGCCCCGGGCUCAACCUGGGAAUUGCAUUCGAGACUGAAUAGCUAGGGUACGGUAGAGGGAAGUGGAAUUUCCGGUGUAGCGGUGAAAUGCGUAGAUAUUCGGCGGAACACCAGUGGCGAAGGCGACUCACUGGCCCGAUACUGACGCUGAUGCGCGAAAGCGUGGGGAGCAAACAGG